ACGCACGCUGGCGGCGUGCUUAACACAUGCAAGUCGAACGGUGAAGCGCCUUCCUUUUUGGUGGGUGUGGAUGAGUGGCGAACGGGUGAGCAACACGUGAGUAACCUGCCCCCUUCUUCUGGAUAACCGCAUGAAAGUGUGGCUAAUACGGGAUAUUCUGGGUCUGUCGCAUGAUGGGUCUGGGAAAGAUAUUGUUUCGGUGGGGGAUGGGCUCGCGGCCUAUCAGCUUGUUGGUGGGGUGAUGGCCUACCAAGGCGGUGACGGGUAGCCGGCCUGAGAGGGUGGACGGUCACACUGGGACUGAGACACGGCCCAGACUCCUACGGGAGGCAGCAGUGGGGAAUAUUGCACAAUGGGCGCAAGCCUGAUGCAGCGACGCCGCGUGAGGGAUGGAGGCCUUCGGGUUGUGAACCUCUUUCGCCAGUGAAGCAGGCCUGCCUCGUUUGUGGGUGGGUUGACGGUAGCUGGAGAAGAAGCGCCGGCUAACUACGUG
rnacentral:rRNA from 1 species